UACGUAGGGUGCGAGCGUUGUCCGGAAUUAUUGGGCGUAAAGAGCUUGUAGGCGGUUUGUCGCGUCUGCCGUGAAAAUCCGGGGCUCAACCCCGGACUUGCGGUGGGUACGGGCAGACUAGAGUGUGGUAGGGGAGACUGGAAUUCCUGGUGUAGCGGUGAAAUGCGCAGAUAUCAGGAGGAACACCGAUGGCGAAGGCAGGUCACUGGGCCGCAACUGACGCUGAGGAGCGAAAGCAUGGGGAGCGAACAGG
rnacentral:rRNA from 1 species